rnacentral:rRNA from 1 species
GACGAACGCUGGCGGCGUGCUUAACACAUGCAAGUCGAACGGAAAGGCCCUGCUUUUGUGGGGUGCUCGAGUGGCGAACGGGUGAGUAACACGUGGGUAACCUGCCCUUGACUUUGGGAUAACUUCAGGAAACUGGGGCUAAUACCGGAUAGGAGCUCCUGCUGCAUGGUGGGGGUUGGAAAGUUUCGGCGGUUGGGGAUGGACUCGCGGCUUAUCAGCUUGUUGGUGGGGUAGUGGCUUACCAAGGCUUUGACGGGUAGCCGGCCUGAGGGUGACCGGCCACAUUGGGACUGAGAUACGGCCCAGACUCCUACGGGAGGCAGCAGUGGGGAAUAUUGCACAAUGGGCGGAAGCCUGAUGCAGCAACGCCGCGUGCGGGAUGACGGCCUUCGGGUUGUAAACCGCUUUCGCCUGUGACGAAGCGUGAGUGACGGUAAUGGGUAAAGAAGCACCGGCUAACUACGUG